rnacentral:rRNA from 1 species
UACGUAGGGUCCAAGCGUUGUCCGGAAUUAUUGGGCGUAAAGAGCUCGUAGGCGGCUUGUCGCGUCGGCUGUGAAAACCUGAGGCUCAACCUCAGGCCUGCAGUCGAUACGGGCGGACUUGAGUACUGCAGGGGAGACUGGAAUUCCUGGUGUAGCGGUGAAAUGCGCAGAUAUCAGGAGGAACACCGGUGGCGAAGGCGGGUCUCUGGGCAGUAACUGACGCUGAGGAGCGAAAGCGUGGGGAGCGAACAGG